CAAGACGAUCCAGUACGUGUAAUAUUCUUUGUACAUAAUUUAGAUCAUUAACCUUGAAUAAUUGAGGGAUGACCUCAUUUAAUCUCCAGUAGCAAAUUUGACCUGUAUUAUGGGAGGAGUUAUGCGUCUGGAUCGUCUUAC
rfam:Escherichia vulneris NBRC 102420 DNA, contig: EV10242001.